UCCGGGGUAGCUCAACUGGCAGAGCGGGUGGCUGUUAACCACCUGGUUGGGGGUUCGAGUCCCUCCCCCGGAGCCA
rnacentral:tRNA from 1 species